UAUUUGUAGACUAAAAAAUUGAGACUACAUAAAUGUUAUCACACAUACUCUUGGUUGCUUCAGUUUGCUCAUGUCCCAGUUCUUUAAACAUCUUCCUUAACUAGAUAGCCUAGUUGAUAGUAAAGAUAGCAGUGAUAUAAUUAGCUUCUAUAGUAGACUGAGUUGUUGUCUCUUGCUUCUUUGAGCUCCAAGUGAAAAAAACUCAAAUUUAGAGAACAU
rnacentral:lncRNA from 1 species